rnacentral:rRNA from 1 species
UGAGGAAUUUUGCGCAAUGGGGGAAACCCUGACGCAGCAACGCCGCGUGAGUGAUGAAGGCCCUUGGGUCGUAAAGCUCUGUCAAGUGGGAAGAAAUGGUCGGAGGUUAAUACCCUUUGAUUUUGACGGUACCACUGAAGGAAGCACCGGCUAACUCCGUGCCAGCAGCCGCGGUAAUACGGGGGGUGCAAGCGUUAUUCGGAAUUAUUGGGCGUAAAGCGCGCGUAGGCGGUUACGUAGGUCAGAUGUGAAAUCCCGGGGCUCAACCCCGGAAGUGCAUUUGAAACCCCGUGACUUGAGUAUGGGAGAGGGAAGUGGAAUUCCAGGUGUAGAGGUGAAAUUCGUAGAUAUCUGGAGGAACACCGGUGGCGAAGGCGACUUCCUGGACCAAUACUGACGCUGAGGUGCGAAGGCGUGGGGAGCAAACA